AUUGAACGCUGGCGGCAGGCCUAACACAUGCAAGUCGAGCGAGCGGCGGACGGGUGAGUAAUGUAUGGGGAUCUGCCUGAUGGAGGGGGAUAACUACUGGACACGGUGGCUAAUACCGCAUGCCAUCGGAUGUACCCAGAUGGGAUUAGCUUGUUGGUGGGGUAAUGGCUCACCAAGGCGACGAUCCCUAGCUGGUCUGAGAGGAUGAUCAGCCACACUGGAACUGAGACACGGGCCAGACUCCUACGGUAGGCAGCAGUGGGGAAUAUUGCACAAUGGGCGCAAGCCUGAUGCAGCCAUGCCGCGUGUAUGAAGAAGGCCGUCGGGUUGUAAAGUACUUUCAGCGGGGAGGCGUUACCCGCAGAAGAAGCACCGGCUAACUCCGUGCCAGCAGCCGCGGUAAUAC
rnacentral:rRNA from 1 species